rnacentral:rRNA from 1 species
UACGUAGGGGGCGAGCGUUGUCCGAAGUUACUGGGCGUAAAGCGCGCGUAGGCGGUCAUUUAGGUCUGAGGUGAAAGGUUCAGCGCUCAACGUGAACAGUGCCUUGGAUACUGGGUGACUUGAGUUCGGGAGGGGGCAGUGGAAUUCCAGGUGUAGCGGUGAAAUGCGUAGAUAUCUGGAGGAACACCGAUGGCGAAGGCAGCUGCCUGGCCCAGAACUGACGCUGAGGUGCGAAAGCGUGGGGAGCGAACGGG